rnacentral:lncRNA from 1 species
GCGAGGGCGGCGGCGCUGUCCGGUCCCUGAAAUCCCAUUCGCGGAUCUUCCGGAAACCCCGCCCCCUUCUCACCGGCUACAGCGGGUCCCCCGGCCUUCUCCGCUGCAACCCCGCAGCCUUGACCGACGACGCGGCCCGUCCCCGCCAACCCCGACCCCGACCCCGACCCCGACCUGGACCCCCGCCCUGCUCCGCGGCGGCCGGACCUACUGUGGAGGCGAGGCCCGACGGCUCCACCUCCGUGUCCCCGCCUCGCUGCGCCCCCUGGCGGCCGGUCCAGCCUCUGCAGCAGAAUUUUCAGCUGGAUGCACGGUAGUCCAGAAUAACCACUGUAAUGGACUUCCCAGCCUCCCUUGCACUUGUGUGGCUACGUGACCAAGUUCAUCAUGGGAUUGGAGCAAAAGUGCUGUGUGCAACAUUUGGGUCUUAUCCUGAAAGGUGAGGGCAUGCCUGUCCCCUCCUUGUCUCCACCUUGCGACUUGGAACUUGGACAUAGUGACAAGCCACCGUGGAUCAUGAAGAUGAUGGCAGCACCUGAGGAGGGUGGAGGGAGCCGACACAACCUCACUGAGCUGGACCACCUACCCGCUCCCAGCCACCUCCCUCCAGACUGUUACGUGAGAAAUAAACUUGUCUUGUGUAAGUCAGUGCUCUCGGGGUCUCAGAAGUGCAGCUAAACUUCUGUCUGCACUAAUACACAGAGACUGUCCUGGAUUCUGUAAUGCAAGUGAAUAAUACAGUUCUAUUCUACUUGGGAAGAUAAAUGCUUUGAAACGUAAUAGAAUUUGGUUGUAUAAAU